GAACGUACGCUGGCGGCACGCCUAACACAUGCAAGUCGAACGAAGUAGCAAUACUUAGUGGCAGACGGGUGAGUAACAUGUAGGUAUCUGCCCUUUGGCCUGGAAUAACACGAGGAAACUUGUGCUAAUACCGGAUAAGUCUUUACGGAGAAAGCUUUAUGCACCAUUGGAUGAGCCUGCACUUGAUUAGUUUGUUGGUGGGGUAAUGGCCUACCAAGACUGUGAUCAAUAGCUGAUUUGAGAGGAUGAUCAGCCACAUUGGGACUGAGACACGGCCCAAACUCCUACGGGAGGCAGCAGUGGGGAAUCUUGCACAAUGGAGGAAACUCUGAUGCAGCGAUGCCGCGUGAGUGAAGAAGGCCCUUGGGUUGUAAAGCUCUUUCGUCGGGGAAGAAAAUGACUGUACCCGAAUAAGAAGGUCCGGCUAACUUCGUGCCAGCAGCCGCGGUAAUACGAAGGGACCUAGCGUAGUUCGGAAUUACUGGGCUUAAAGAGUUCGUAGGUGGUUGAAAAAGUUAGUGGUGAAAUCCCAGAGCUUAACUCUGGAACUGCCAUUAAAACUUUUCAGCUAGAGUAUGAUAGAGGAAAGCAGAAUUUCUAGUGUAGAGGUGAAAUUCGUAGAUAUUAGAAAGAAUACCAAUUGCGAAAGGCAGCUUUCUGGAUCAUUACUGACACUGAGGAACGAAAGCAUGGGUAGCGAAGAGGAUUAGAUACCCUCGUAGUCCAUGCCGUAAACGAUGUGUGUUAGACGUUGGAAAUUUAUUUUCAGUGUCGCAGGGAAACCGAUAAACACACCGCCUGGGGAGUACGACCGCAAGGUUAAAACUCAAAUGAAUUGACGGGGACCCGCACAAGUAGUGGAGCAUGUGGUUUAAUUCGAAGAUACGCGCAGAACCUUACCAACACUUGACAUGUUCGUCGCGACUCUAAGAGAUUAGAGUUUUCGGUUCGGCCGGACGAAACACAGGUGCUGCAUGGCUGUCGUCAGCUCGUGUCGUGAGAUGUUGGGUUAAGUCCCGCAACGAGCGCAACCCUCACUUUUAGUUGCCAUCAUUAAGUUGGGCACUCUGAAAGAACUGCCAGUGAUAAGCUGGAGGAAGGUGGGGAUGACGUCAAGUCCUCAUGGCCCUUACGUGUUGGGCUACACACGUGCUACAAUGGUAUCUACAACAGGAAGCAAGACUGCGAAGUUAAGCAAAUCCCUAAAAGAUACCUCAGUUCGGAUUGCACUCUGCAACUCGAGUGCAUGAAGCUGGAAUUACUAGUAAUCGUGGAUCAGCGUGCCACGGUGAAUGCGUUCCCGGGUCUUGUACACACCGCCC
rnacentral:rRNA from 1 species